rnacentral:rRNA from 1 species
UACGGAGGGUGCAAGCGUUAUCCGGAUUCACUGGGUUUAAAGGGUGCGUAGGCGGGCAGGUAAGUCAGUGGUGAAAUCCCCGAGCUUAACUUGGGAACUGCCGUUGAUACUAUCUGUCUUGAAUACCGUGGAGGUGAGCGGAAUAUGUCAUGUAGCGGUGAAAUGCUUAGAUAUGACAUAGAACACCAAUUGCGAAGGCAGCUCGCUACACGAAUAUUGACUCUGAGGCACGAAAGCGUGGGGAUCAAACAGG